CAGGCCAUAAGGAACGCAGGCUCUGAUUUGAAAGCAAAUGCAAUAUGGCAGCAAAUAAUAAAUUUAAGAACGUGAUUUUACCAUUAUGAGAUUUUAAGUUAUAUUUUCGACCAUUGAAAUAUGGGAAAAGAUUCUAAAAAGAAGAAAAAACGUCGAAGCAGGUCUCCAUCUCCCAGAAACCGUGAAAGGAAGCGCAGUUCGUCCCCUGAAUAUGAAUCUAGGAGGCAACCAAAAGAGAAGAGCCGUGAGCAGGAAAAGUGAGUAGAAGUGCAGAUGUAGACAAAAAUUGCCGUCGAUAUUUUACAGUUCGGUUUCAAGUAUGCAAUACGAAUUAAAGUUACAUUUGUAUAUUUUUAUAAAAUAAAUCAAAUCUAAACCUAACCCUACCAACUUGGCAAUUUGCUCUCACCCGCCGAUAUUUUACAGUUCGGUUUCAAGUAUGCAAUACGAAUUAAAGUCACAGCUACAUUGUACAAUAUAAAUUAACAAAAUAUCAAGUUUUUGUUGGCGUCUCACUCGAUUGAAUAUAGUUGAAAGGCAUUGUAGAUGAAAUUAUCGAGUGGAAAUUUAUAUUGUACACUUAUUAGACCUAAACAGGAACAGCUGCGAAAAAUAUGGGAAGUUCUGCAGCCCUGUGAUUCUGGUGUGAUGCGAG